UCCUACGGGAGGCAGCAGUCGAGAAUAGUCUACAAUGGACGAAAGUCUGAUAGUGCGACGCCGCGUGAACGAAGAAUCCCUUCGGGGUGUAAAGUUCUUUUAUAUGUGAGCAAUGCUUUUUAUGUGAAUAGCAUGAGAAGAGAGAUAUUAGCAUAUGAAUAAGCAACGGCUAACUCCGUGCCAGCAGCCGCGGUAAUA
rnacentral:rRNA from 1 species